UACAGAGGGGGCAAGCGUUAUUCGGAAUUAUUGGGCGUAAAGGGCGCGUAGGCGGCCAUGCGUGUCUUCCGUGAAAUCCCUCGGCUCAACCGAGGACGUGCGGAAGAAACUGCAAGGCUCGAGUCCGGAAGAGGGGGGCGGAAUUCCCAGUGUAGCGGUGAAAUGCGUAGAUAUUGGGAGGAACACCAGUGGCGAAGGCGGUCCCCUGGGCCGGAACUGACGCUGAGGCGCGAAAGCGUGGGUAGCAAACGGG
rnacentral:rRNA from 1 species